CAACAUCACCUCUAGCAUUACAAGUAUUAGAGGCAAUGCCUGCCCAGUGACUAAAGUUUAACGGCCGCGGUAUUCUGACCGUGCAAAGGUAGCAUAAUCACUUGUUCCUUAAUUAGGGACUAGAAUGAACGGCUAAACGAGGGUUUAACUGUCUCUUAUUUUUCAUCCGUGAAACUGACCUUCCCGUGAAGAGGCGGGAAUACUACAACUAGACGAGAAGACCCUAUGGAGCUUUAAUUUAUUAAUUUAAUUUCAAUAAUUUUCAAUCAAAUAGGGAUAAAAACUGAAAACUAAAUUAAUGAUUUAGGUUGGGGUGACCUCGGAGAAUAAAAUAACCUCCGAAAGAUUAUAAUUUAGACUGACAAGUCAAAAUAAGCACGCCUAUCAUUAAUCGACCCAUUAAUUUUGAUCGACGAACCAAGUUACCCUAGGGAUAACAGCGCAAUCCUAUUUAAGAGUUCAUAUCGAAAAUGGGGUUUACGACCUCGAUGUUGGAUCAGGAUAUCCCAAUGGUGCAGCCGCUAUUAAUGGUUCGUUUGUUCAACGAUUA
rnacentral:rRNA from 1 species